UUCAAUGUCUUCAAAACCCAACGUUAUUCAGUUUACUAUGAUAUAAAACAGAGAAAAGCAGCAAAUCCUCACAUUGGAGAGGCUGGAACCAGAGGAUGUUCAUUUGAUCGACACAGGUAAAGGAAGAAAGAAGAAGCACAGAAAUAAGCAAAUACAGCUCUCCCAGCCCAUCUGCCUAUAACUGGGCUUAUGAAACAGGAAAAAAAAGACUUCCCCUCAUGCAAUGAAAAGUUAUAUUAUUAUAUAUAUUUCCUGUGAGUCUUUUUUUAUUUGUGCUCCUGCCUUCUUGUAGGGCCCAGAGCUCACCACUAGAUGUCUCUGUUGGUGCGUUGAUAAUGACUUAACUCAGAAAUGGGCGUAUUGAAGAAGUUUUUAAAAUUUAUUGAGUCUUAGCAGGUCCUGUAUGUACAUUGAAAAAUACAGGCUCUGCUAAAAUAAAGCAGAUUACAAUUAUACAAAUACAAACCUAAGGCACUUCAAAUGAGAAUGCAAUAUUAGUUUGAAUGCACGUUACGUUCUUGCACAAGGUUUUUGUAUGUGAAUGAGUUAGGUCCAAUAAGAAAGAAACAAUUUAAAGUAGGUUUGGAUCAGUCAAGUGUGGGAGAGAGAGAGUUGAUAUGACCAGAGUUUGGUGUUUGGUAGCAGAAGGGGAUUAUGUAAGGAUUAGAGUGUCUUUGUGUCUGUUGCGUUCAGAAACUGAAAUGAAAGACAGUGCAUCAUGCUUAUGUGUGUUUAUGUGUGUGUGUUUCUGUGUGUGGGUGGUGGGAAUAUAAUUGUCUCCUCACA